UGUUCCAGUUCCAGUUUUAUGGUACCUGAAUGAGUCCUGGUAAACAGAUGCCGCUAUAAAAUAGUACGAGGUUAUAUCUGAAGUUAUGGUGUCUGAGCGGCUCCGAAGUUCUGCGCUGGUGCAGGGAGCCUUCCGAAGGGGGCCGGAGCAGCUAUCGGAUGGGAAAACAAGGAGCGUUUUUCCUUAAAGCGGGUCCAGCCGCGUGGAAGGCGUACCAGAGACGUGUCUAGGAGCUGAUGAACGAGAUACUUGAGCAAGAAGCUGCUUCUGAGAAUGAUCCAUUUAGUUACGACACCAAAUGGAGCUCAGGUCACCUUGCCGAAGUUUCCUCUUGCRUCUGCAUCUCUUUACAUCUGGUCGACAUGUAAAGCCAGAUGUGGGGCACCUAACUGCUCUUUAGCCAGAUGUUCUUCUGCUAAAAUCUGCUGA
rnacentral:lncRNA from 1 species